rnacentral:lncRNA from 1 species
UGGCUUCAGCGUCACCUAGUGCAGGCUGCCAUUCAACAAACGCAUUGUCAACAGUCAACCAAAAGAAACCCAUUGGCCACCAUACCCUGAGGACUAACCCUGACACAGAUGCCCUUCCAGAUGCCCUCAAUAGUCUAACUGAUUCCAUCGCCCCAGCCUUGGGGGAGAAGCACUGCUGCCUAUGCACUCCAUUUACAGAAAAACGUUGACCUCUUGGCGAGAAUGCAAAGAAGGGAACGCUUGCUUAUACGCUGUUGGUGAACUGUCACCCCUACAACUCAGCUUGCAACCAGCCCUGGCCACCAGUUUCCCCACACUGAGCUGAAUAUCGGACAUGCCCAUCUCAGACAUUCCAGCCCAUUCUGAAAUUCCACAUCGAUUCACCUGACAAAGUCUGAAGUUCCAGGGCAAUUUAUCUGGAAAAGCUUACCUGGAAUCACGUGUCAUUUCAACCAACAACUGUUGAAGAGGACGUGGCAUUAAAACCAAGGGUAUCAAUUAUUUAUAA